GGCGACGCCGAGCGGACCCGAAAAAGGACGCCUCAGUUCGGAUUGGAGUCUGCAACCCGACUCCAUGAAGCUGGAUUCGCUAGUAAUCGCGCAUCAGCCACGGCGCGGUGAAUACGUUCCCGGGCCUUGUACACACCGCCCGUCAAGCCAUGGGAGCCGGGAGUGCCUGAAGUGCGCGGCCGCGAGGAGCGCCCUAGGGCAAGACUGGUGACUGGGGCUAAGUCGUAACAAGGUACC
rnacentral:rRNA from 1 species